AUUUGAAACUGUAGCCCUUGAGUAUCGGAGAGGCAAGCGGAAUUCCUAGUGUAGCUGGUGAAAUGCGUAGAUAUUAGGAGGAACACCAGUGGCGAAGGCGGCUUGCUGGACGACAACUGACGCUGAGGCGCGAAAGCGUGGGAGCAAACAGGAUUAGAUAGCCAUGGUAGUCCACGCUGUAAACGAUGAAUACUAGGUGUGGGAGGACUGACCCCUUCCGUGCCGCAGUUAACACAAUAAGUAUUCCACCUGGGGAGUACGACCGCAAGGUUGAAACUCAAAGGAAUUGACGGGGGCCCGCACAAGCAGUGGAUUAUGUGGUUUAAUUCGACGCAACGCGAAGAACCUUACCAGGAUUUGACAUCCUACUAACGAAGUAGAGAUACAUUAGGUGCCCUUCGGGGAAAGUAGAGACAGGUGGUGCAUGGUUGUCGUCAGCUCGUGUCGUGAGAUGUUGGGUUAAGUCCCGCAACGAGCGCAACCCCUAUUGUUAGUUGCUACGCAAGAGCACUCUAGCGAGACUGCCGUUGACAAAACGGAGGAAGGCGGGGACGACGUCAAAUCAUCAUGCCCCUUAUGUCCUGGGCUACACACGUAAUACAAUGGCCGUCAACAAAGGGAAGCAAAACCGCGAGGUAGAGCAAAUCCCCAAAAACGGUCUCAGUUCGGAUUGCAGGCUGCAACUCGCCUGCAUGAAGCUGGAAUUGCUAGUAAUCGCGGAUCAGCAUGCCGCGGUGAAUACUCAGGAAACAGCUAACAC
rnacentral:rRNA from 1 species